rnacentral:tRNA from 1 species
UAGCUCAGUCAGUUGAGUGUGGCACUAACAAUGCCUAGGUCGCGGGUUCAAUUCCUGU